rnacentral:misc_RNA from 1 species
GAUGAAGAACGUAGCGAAAUGCGAUACUUGGUGUGAAUUGCAGAAUCCCGUGAACCAUCGAGUCUUUGAACGCAAGUUGCGCCCGAAGCCAUUAGGCCGAGGGCACGCCUGCCUGGGUGUCACACACCGUUACCCUCGCGCCAACUUCCAUCGUUGGCCGCGGCGCGGGGCGUGCGCUGACCUCCCGCGAGCGGGGUCUCGUGGUUGGUUGAAAAUCGAGUUCGCGGUCGAGGGUGCCGUGAUGAAAUGGUGGAUGGGCGACGCCCGAGGCCAAUCACGCGCGACUCCGUCCGGCUCGGACUCCUGGACCCCUUCGGCGUCUCCGGACGCUCUUUGGCGAGACCUCAGGUCAGGCGGGGCUACCCGCUGAGUUUAAGCAUAUCAAUAAGCGGAGGA